rnacentral:rRNA from 1 species
AGCGAACGCUGGCGGCGUGCCUAACACAUGCAAGUCGAACGUGAAAGGGAGCAAUCCCCCGUAACGUGGCGUACGGGUGAGUAACACGUAGGUAAUCUACCCCAGAAUCUGGCAUAACCGGCCGAAAGGCUGGCUAAUACUGGAUAGAGCGACGGAAUCCGUAAUUGGGUUUUUCGGGAUUGGGAGCCUGUAAUAAGGCCUUCGUUCUGGGAUGAGCCUGCGUCCCAUCAGCUAGCUGGUGGGGUGAAAGCUUACCAAGGCAUUGACGGGUAGCUGGUCAGCGAGGACAAUCACCCAAACUGGACUGAAAACACGGUCCAGCCCCCUGCGAGAGGCAGCAGGGGGGAAUCUCGCGCAAUGGAAGAAAUGCGGACGCAGCAACGCCGCGUGAGUGAAGAAUGCCGUCGGGUUGUAAAGCUCAGUCGAGUGGGACGAAAAUGCUGGGAGUUCACAGCUCCAGGAACUGACGGUACCACGAAAGGAAGCACCGGCUAACUCCGUG